GACGAACGCUGGCGGCGUGCCUAAUACAUGCAAGUCGAGCGGACUUGUGGGAGCUUGCUCCCACAAGUUAGCGGCGGACGGGUGAGUAACACGUGGGCAACCUGCCUGUAAGACUGGGAUAACUUCGGGAAACCGGAGCUAAUACCGGAUAACUUCUUUCUCCGCCUGGAGAAAGGUUGAAAGACGGCUUCGGCUGUCACUUACAGAUGGGCCCGCGGCGCAUUAGCUAGUUGGUGAGGUAACGGCUCACCAAGGCGACGAUGCGUAGCCGACCUGAGAGGGUGAUCGGCCACACUGGGACUGAGACACGGCCCAGACUCCUACGGGUGGCAG
rnacentral:rRNA from 1 species